GGGACUGUAGCUCAGCGGGAGAGCGCGUGACUGAAGAUCAUGAGGUCGCUGGUUCAAAUCCGGCCAGUCCCA
rnacentral:tRNA from 1 species